CUACGUGCCAGCAGCCGCGGUAAUACGUAGGGUGCGAGCGUUAAUCGGAAUUACUGGGCGUAAAGCGUGCGCAGGCGGUUGUGUAAGACAGGUGUGAAAUCCCCGGGCUUAACCUGGGAACUGCGCUUGUGACUGCACGGCUAGAGUACGGCAGAGGGGGGUGGAAUUCCACGUGUAGCAGUGAAAUGCGUAGAGAUGUGGAGGAACACCGAUGGCGAAGGCAGCCCCCUGGGCCGAUACUGACGCUCAUGCACGAAAGCGUGGGGAGCAAACAGGAUUAGAUACCCUAGUAGUCCACGCCCUAAACGAUGUCGACUAGUCGUUCGUAAGGGUAACCUUGUGAGUGACGCAGCUAACGCGUGAAGUCGACCGCCUGGGGAGUACGGUCGCAAGAUUAAAACUCAAAGGAAUUGACGGGGACCCGCACAAGCGGUGGAUGAUGUGGAUUAAUUCGAUGCAACGCGAAAAACCUUACCUACCCUUGACAUGCCUGGAACUUGGUAGAGAUACCUUGGUGCCUUCGGGAGCCAGGACACAGGUGCUGCAUGGCUGUCGUCAGCUCGUGUCGUGAGAUGUUGGGUUAAGUCCCGCAACGAGCGCAACCCUUGUCGCUAAUUGCCAUCAUUUAGUUGGGCACCUUAGCGAGACUGCCGGUGACAAACCGGAGGAAGGUGGGGAUGACGUCAAGUCCUCAUGGCCCUUAUGGGUAGGGCUUCACACGUCAUACAAUGGUCGGUACAGAGGGUUGCCAAGCCGCGAGGUGGAGCUAAUCUCUUAAAGCCGAUCGUAGUCCGGAUCGCAGUCUGCAACUCGACUGCGUGAAGUCGGAAUCGCUAGUAAUCGCAGAUCAGCAUGCUGCGGUGAAUACGUUCCCGGGUCUUGUACACACCGCCCGUCACACCAUGGGAGUGGGUUUCACCAGAAGUGGGUAGCUUAACCUUCGGGAGGGCGCUCACCACGGUGAGAUUCAUGACUGGGGUG
rnacentral:rRNA from 1 species